rnacentral:misc_RNA from 1 species
GAAAUGCGAUAAGUAAUGUGAAUUGCAGAAUUCAAUGAAUCAUCGAAUCUUUGAACGCACAUUGCGCCCGCCAGCACUCUGGCGGGCAUGCCUGUUCGAGCGUCAUUUCAACCCUCAGAACCCCUUGCGGGAGCUGGCGUUGGGGAUUGGCAUCCAGCCAGCCCCGAAAUCUAGUGGCGGUCCCUCCGCGACCUCCCCUGUGCAGUAGCGAUACCUCGCAGCGGGACAGCGGUCUGACCACGCCGUAAAACCCCCAACUUCUCAAGGUUGACCUCGAAUCAGGUAGGAAUACCCGCUGAACUUAAGC